rnacentral:rRNA from 1 species
AUGAGGUGCUUGCACCUUAUCUUAGCGGCGGACGGGUGAGUAAUGCUUAGGAAUCUACCUAUUAGUGGGGGACAACGUUUCGAAAGGAACGCUAAUACCGCAUACGUCCUACGGGAGAAAGCAGGGGACCUUCGGGCCUUGCGCUAAUAGAUGAGCCUAAGUCGGAUUAGCUAGUUGGUGGGGUAAAGGCCUACCAAGGCGACGAUCUGUAGCGGGUCUGAGAGGAUGAUCCGCCACACUGGGACUGAGACACGGCCCAGACUCCUACGGGAGGCAGCAGUGGGGAAUAUUGGACAAUGGGGGGAACCCUGAUCCAGCCAUGCCGCGUGUGUGAAGAAGGCCUUUUGGUUGUAAAGCACUUUAAGCGGGGAGGAGGCUACUUAGAUUAAUACUCUAGGAUAGUGGACGUUACCCGCAGAAUAAGCACCGGCUAACUCUGUGCCAGCAGCCGCGGUAAUACAGAGGGUGCGAGCGUUAAUCGGAUUUACUGGGCGUAAAGCGUGCGUAGGUGGUCUUUUAAGUCGGAUGUGAAAUCCCUGAGCUUAACUUAGGAAUUGCAUUCGAUACUGGGAGACUAGAGUAUGGGAGAGGAUGGUAGAAUUCCAGGUGUAGCGGUGAAAUGCGUAGAGAUCUGGAGGAAUACCGAUGGCGAAGGCAGCCAUCUGGCCUAAUACUGACACUGAGGCACGAAAGCAUGGGGAGCAAACAGGAUUAGAUACCCUGGUAGUCCAUGCCGUAAACGAUGUCUACUA